ensembl:lncRNA
UCUUCACAGAUUGGUGUCGUUUUUGGACAGUGUCACUUAAGGGUGACAGCCCAUUCCUUGUGAAGUUCAAUCAAAUUCUUGAAUCAAUUUUGCUUGAAAAUCCUCAUAAGGCUGCGGCUCUCUCGGUUGGUUGUGCAUUUUUUUCUUCCAUACUUUUUCCUUCCACUCAACUUUCUUUUAACAUGCUUGGAUACAGCACUCUGUGAACAGCCAGCUUCUUUGGCAAUGACUGUUUGUGGCUUACCCUCCUCGAGAAGGGUGUGAAUGAUUGUCUUCUGGACAACUGUCAGAUCAGCAGUCUUCCCCAUGAUUGUUUAGCCUAGUGAACCAAACUGAGAGACCAUUUGAAGGCUCAGGGAACCUUUGCAGGUGUUUUGAGUUGAUAAGCUGAAUGGCAUGUCACCAUAUUCUAAUUUGUUGAGAUAGUGAAUUGGUGUUUUUUUUUUUAAAAUGUGAGCCAAAAUCAUCAUAAGUAAAAUAACAAAAGACUUAAACUACUUCAGUCUGUGUGAAUUGAAUUUAUUUAAUACAUGAGUUUCACAAUUUGAACUGAAUUACUGAAAUAAUCGAACUUUUCCACAACAUUUUUAUUGAGAUGCAUAUGAGGGGAAAAUGUUCAAAAGUUUAAAAAAAAACUAUAGUAUGCUUCUAUGUUCACUUAUAUUUGAGGGGGAAAUGUUCAGCCCUUAGUUUAAUAUAAUGUCAAAACAAUGUACACUUUUUUUAUCCCAAUGAUCUUUGUGUUGCAAUUUAUCUCAAUCAUUCCACGUUAAGUAUAAACGUGUGUUGAAGGGCAUUGUUCAACCCACAUUUUUUCUGAAGAGAUUUCUCACAAGAACUGAGGGAAGCAUCCAACUUGGGAGGAAAUGCGCAUCACACAUGUCACCAGUGCGAUAAUGAAUCGCUUGAUUGUGUUGGCAUUGACCCUUGAUAUAGUUGUUGGCAGCGAUGAAGUCAUCUUCGUCACCGCAAGUUGCAGAGAUGACAUAACUUUGCACUGUACUUUCCAUAAAAAUUGUCAGAACUACACCUCUGUUACAUGGUACAAGUUCAACGAUAACAGCAGUGACGGGGCGUCAAAAAUGACAAUUGUCAUAAAAUCUGAAAGUGUCAUCCAGACUGAUAAGCACAACAAUUCUUUAUCACUGGAUAAAAAUGCAUCUUUGGUCUUGAGGAAAGUUACUCCUGCCAAAUCUGGGAUCUACAUGUGUUUAAUAAGAGCCAAAGCUGGAGGAAAGAACUGUCAAAAUCGGCUUAGACUUAAUAUCUCAGAUUGUGUGUCAACAGCUUCACCCAUCAUCUUUAAUUUCUCCACUAAGUUUACUAAUGAAUCAUGGGCAAACAUCAGCAUCCCACUGCCUCGUGUGAAUGAUGAGUCAGUGCUCUUUGUCCUUUGGGGUUGUGUAGGAUUGGCUGUGAGUAAACUUGUCCUCAGUGCUUUUUGCAUAUGGGUAAGUUUUUCUGAAGGUAGCUAAUUCAUCUCAUAUCUUCUGAGCAUUUAUUUUGUAAAGGUAUAGGUUCAGAAAAGCAGUAGAUGUAGCCAAACACAACAAGGAAGUAACAAGUUUAAAUACCAAAGCUCUUAAAGAAAACAACGAGGAAUCAUUUCAAAAAUGGACUCUAGAAGUCUAAUCCUAUAACUGUUAUUGUGAAAACCUAUUUCUGAUCUAUAUGCUUCUGUUCUCAGGUUUUCAAGGAACUCAGUAAACUUAAAAGAAGAAAGACUUAAGGACCAGCCACUGUUUACCUGCCAUAUGGUUUAAUAAUGUAUUAUCAUCAUUUUAAUAAUUUAUCUGUGAAUUUACCUGUGAAUAAUACACUUAAAAUAUCCUUAUUUUAGAAU